rnacentral:lncRNA from 1 species
AGUCUGGCACACCCGAGCUUUCUUAAAUUUAUGUUUCCAUCCUUGUAUCGAGUCGCUUAAAGAAUUUGAGGCAAAGAAAUCUUGAAUUUGAAAUCUCAUGACCCUAGAUAUCCACAAACCACUCUGGAAAAUAUGUUCUCUACCCGCCUUUGGUUUUAUUUUCCCGCUUCUUGUGCCUAGACUGCACAUGAUACGUUAUUUCUCAGCCGGUGAAAUGAGCCAAUCCAAACCAGAUUUGAAUAUAUCAAAGGGAGGUUUAUUGGGAAACUGCUCUUGGGUGAGUUCCCUGGCCCCAAGGUCUGAGACAGGUCAAAUCAAGAGGUGGCAACCAAGGAGGAAGAAAAAGAGACCAGGUUUGCUAUAUGUAAAAUAUGCACCUAGGUCCUUUUUCCUUGACUCAAGCCGAACUACGUCUUUGCUCCAGGAGUGUUUAAAGUGACACAAAGCAAGCAGUAAUGUAACAGGAACCACAGGUCAAGUAUCCUGAAUCUUGCGACUUUGUAAAGACUUGCCUAACAAUUUCCGUAAGACCCUUUGUAUUUUCUCCCAACCCCGAAUGUCUGCUGCCUCUCCGGAGCAAUACGAAGAUGUAGAGGACUGCAAGACCAAAAGUUUUGUGCAACGUGUAAAUCUAUGUUUAUGCUACAUCCAAUAUUUCUCUGCGUGAGGAAGACAAAGCAGUUGCCUAAGAAUUACCUCAGCCUACCAGAAUUAUGGUUUUGUGCUUGAAACAUUAAUAUAGGUUUUUCCACAAGCUAAAUUAACCAUGUUACUAGACUCUUAUAUGAAGAAGUGGUGGCUCUGAAAAGAGCCUUUGGGUUUUGUUU